rnacentral:tRNA from 1 species
GCGCCGCUAGCUCAAUGGCAGAGCAACUGACUCUUAAUCAGUGGGUUCGGGGUUCGAGUCCCUGGCGGCGCACCA